rnacentral:rRNA from 1 species
UACGUAGGGGGCAAGCGUUGUCCGGAUUUACUGGGCGUAAAGAGCGUGUAGGCGGCCACGCAGGUCCGUUGUGAAAACUGGAGGCUCAACCUCCAGCUGUCGACGGAAACCGUAUGGCUAGAGUCCGGAAGAGGAGAGUGGAAUUCCUGGUGUAGCGGUGAAAUGCGCAGAUAUCAGGAAGAACACCAAUGGCGAAAGCAGCUUUCUGGGACGGUACUGACGCUGAGACGCGAAAGCGUGGGGAGCGAACAGG